rnacentral:rRNA from 1 species
AUUGAACGCUAGCGGGAUGCUUUACACAUGCAAGUCGAACGGAGUGGCGGACGGGUGAGUAAUAUAUCGGAACGUGCCCAGUAGCGGGGGAUAACUACUAGAAAGAGUGGCUAAUACCGCAUAAUAGUGGAUCGGCCGAUAGCGGAUUAUAUAGUGGGUGGGGUAACGGCGCACCAAGGCAACGAUCCGUAGCUGGUUUGAGAGGACGACCAGCCACACUGGUACUGAGACACGGCCCAGACUCCUACGUGAGGCAGCAGUGGGGAAUGUUGUACAAUGGGGGAAACCCUGAUCCAGCCAUGCCGCGUGUAUGAUGAAGGCCUUCGGGUUGUAAAGUACUUUUGGCGGAGAAGCGGUAUCUGCAGAAUAAGCACCGGCUAACUACGUGCCAGCAGCCGCGGUAAUUC